AUGGUGCAUCCUGCCUGCCUUGAGGAGGCUGACAUUCUGGGGGAGAAAAGCUUGUCUUCACUGCUCUUCAUGAGCUACCUGAAAAGCUUUACUAAAUACUUAGAGGAGGCUGUGCCUGGCAGGAUUUUUCAGUCAUUUUCCAAAUCAGAGUCCAAAUUGCAGUGUGGAGGAGGUUUUGAAAGUCAGAAUCACCUGGAGAAAGUCGAGACAAACCAUCCUGGACCAUCUGUCUGUCAAGAGCUUAACUUGUAGAGUAGAGACAGACUCUUCUGUAAAAUUAAAAGCCUCAUGGCAGCUACUGCCGCAGCCUGAGAAGCUUCUGUCUCUCCUCAGUGACCCUUCAGAGUUGUUUUGGAACUGCUCCCUAUAAAGAAAGCAUCUGACACAGAGGGCCCAGAGGAAAAUCCACCAAGUCACAGCUGGACCAUACUGGCAGUGAAGAUUCCUUGGAGAAGGUUAUACAUUUCAUCUGUUCUUUGCAAAGGGAACUUGAAUUUCUAGGGGUGAUACUCUGGAUGGUCCCUGCCUCUUGUGCACAAUGAUAUUUCCAGAGUUCAUCACACAUCAAUACUUAGAGUCAGUUCAAUGAAGGCCAAGACCAAAUUAAAUGCAAUAAAA